UACGGAGGGGGCUAGCGUUGUUCGGAAUUACUGGGCGUAAAGCGUGCGCAGGCGGUUUCGUAAGUCUGUCGUGAAAUCCCCGGGCUUAACCUGGGAAUGGCGAUGGAGACUGCGAGGCUAGAGUUUGGCAGAGGGGGGUAGAAUUCCACGUGUAGCAGUGAAAUGCGUAGAGAUGUGGAGGAACACCGAUGGCGAAGGCAGCCCCCUGGGUCAAAACUGACGCUCAUGCACGAAAGCGUGGGGAGCAAACAGG
rnacentral:rRNA from 1 species